GACGAACGCUGGCGGCGUGCUUAACACAUGCAAGUCGAACGGAAAGGCGCUGCUCUUGUUGGGUGGUCGAGUGGCGAACGGGUGUGUAACACGUGAGUAACCUGCCCUUGACUUUGGGAUAACAUCAGGAAACUCGGGCGAAUACCGGGUAGGAUCUCCUGCUGCAUGGUGGUGGAUGGAAAGUUUCGGCGGUUGUGGAUGGAUUCGCGGCUUAUCAGCUUGUUGGUGGGGUAGUGGCUUACCAAGGCUGUGACGGGUAGGCGGCCUGAGAGGGUGACCGGGCACAUUGGGACUGAGAGACGGAGCAGUAUCCUAUGGGAGGCAGUAGUGGAGAAUAUUGCAGAACGGGCGGAAGCGUGAUGCAGCAACGCCGCGUGCGGGAUGACGGGUUUCGGGUUGUAAACCGAUGUCGCAUGUGACGAGGCGUGAGUGACGGUAAUGGGUAAAGAAGCACCGGCUAACUACGUG
rnacentral:rRNA from 1 species